rnacentral:rRNA from 1 species
GUGCCAGCAGCCGCGGUAAUACGGAGGGAGCUAGCGUUGUUCGGAAUUACUGGGCGUAAAGCGCACGUAGGCGGCUUUGUAAGUUAGAGGUGAAAGCCUGGAGCUCAACUCCAGAACUGCCUUUAAGACUGCAUCGCUUGAAUCCAGGAGAGGUGAGUGGAAUUCCGAGUGUAGAGGUGAAAUUCGUAGAUAUUCGGAAGAACACCAGUGGCGAAGGCGGCUCACUGGACUGGUAUUGACGCUGAGGUGCGAAAGCGUGGGGAGCAAACAGGAUUAGAUACCCCGGUAGUCC